UGUCUCGCAGUUUUCAGAAGAACCGAGGCCUGGAGACAUUAUUGAUAUUUUUCACAUUGGCUACAAGGACUGGGCCAUCUACGUGGGAGACGGUAAUGUGAUCCAUCUGACGCCUCCAAGGGGGUUUCCCAGGAUCGGCUCCUCCAAUAUGUUCAUAUUUCUGACUGGCAGAGCACAGGUGACGGAAGAGCCCCUGGGGUCGGCGGCUUGGGGCUGCUUAUAUCGGGUCAACAACUACUUGGAUGAUAAGUGCAGACCCCGGCCUGUGGAUGACAUCAUCAGUUCUGCCAGGGAGAUGAUUCAUAGCGAGAAGACAUAUACAGUUCUUUCUGAUAACAGCAAAACUUUUGUCACUGAUCUCAGAUAUGGCCGGCCCCGCCGUGAGUUGUCACGCGAAGACCCGAUGCCUGGAGACCUGAUGGAAAUAUGUCGAGGCCUUUAUGAACGAACACUGGGCCAUCUACGUGGGAGGCGGUCAUGUGGUCCACU